rnacentral:pre_miRNA from 1 species
AGUACAAUUACUGGGUCAUAUGGUAGUUGCAUGUUUAGUUUUUAAAAACAACUGCCAAACUGUUUUCCAGAGUGGCUGUACCAUUUUAUAUUCCCACCAGCAAU